rnacentral:lncRNA from 1 species
AGACUAGCAGAGGGCAAAAUUAUUGCUAAGUGCCUGUCUUGAACAGCAAAGUCCUUCACCUACAUACGUAGUGCUCAGUAAAUGAAGAAAGAUCUAAAAAAAGGGAAGCACUCUCUGACUCGACCUGAGUUUCCCUCCAGCAUCUCAGCACAGGGCAGCAGGAUCCCAGCGAUUAAAAAGAGCCACAGGCAGCAUUAACACUAACUAGGUGAGCACUUCACAUUCAUUACCUCAUUUAAUCCCCACAACAAAUUGAGGAAAUGAGUACUUCAUUAUCCCCAUUCCGCAGGUGAGAAUACUGAGGCUCAGAUGCGGGAUGUCAUUUGCCCAAAGGCAAACAACAGAUGGUGAGUAGUGGAAAUCAGCUUCCAUCUGGGUUUUCCUGACUGCAGUGCCUGUGCUCUCAACCUCAGAUGAGGCCAUCAUGUCACACCUAUCCUUCAGGUUGGAAAAGAGAGAUAGCCUCGAAGAGGCUAAUAAUGUUACAGCAGCUGCCCAGCAUAUCAGCUCUGGUGACAGCCCUGUGGCGGUAGUUGCCAGCUCCAGCAGCUCUGUGGCUGCAGCGGAUCAGCGCUUUUACCCAAGCGAGCACUCAGAGAGGUGGAGAACUCAGGUUUAUUACAGCCGCGGGCCCAGAGGAGAUCGCUCUUCAGAGUCUGAGCCCCAAAGAGGGGUUUCACAAGGGCUCGUUCUUCCGGGUCCGUGCUUGGCAGGCCAGAGUGAGAAAUGGCAAAGUAGUAGAUGCAGAAACAAGUUUACAGAAGCAGACAUGUGGGGAGGGGUGGUUGGGGCUGUUGGCUGGACGUUGCUUAGUCGUCAUGGCCAGGGUCUCUCCUUUCUACCUUUUUAUCAGGACUUUCCCCCCUCUUGAUGCUUUUCCACUUUCUUGGAGCAAGCAUCAAUUUUUAAAGCUCAAGUUUUCUGUAUCUGAUGUGUCCAGGGGGACCUACUGUGAACUAACAUUUGCAACCUUAUAGACUCUAUUCGUGUGGUUAUGAAAUGAGUAAUCACAUUAAGAAUUCAGGGCCCAAACAAGAGGGCAAUGAUGAGGAUAGUCAGAGGCCCAGUUAAGUGUGGGAGCCAUGAAGCCCAGUUCCAGAUCUUAUUCCAGUAGUUUGAAGACUCUGCCAAUUCUCACCUUCUCUUGGUUAUUUGCUCUUUUAAUUGUUGUGCCAUGCUGCUGAUUACUCCUGACUUGUCGGCAUAAAGACAGCAUUCUUCUUUAAGGAAUAGACAGAGUUCCCCUUUUCUGCUGUCAGUAAUUCUAGUCCCCUCCUGUUUUGUGACACCACCUCCACCAGGAGUCCAGUUGUUGAUGGGCUUUUACGGCCGCUACAGUGGCCUUCCAAGACGCUUGAACCAUUACAGCCAGGAUAAGUACUGCUCUAACAGAGGUACUCCAGCAAACCCAAAUAAUCCUCUAAAGAUAGAAUGUCCUACCCCUCGGUUUUGAAAAGAGAGGCCGUUUUCCCACUAACUUGCUAAUUAUCCCCGUGGGCCAGCCUCGUUCCGGGUAUCCCCAUGGCUCUGCAUGCUCCAGUUUUAGGUCUGGCAGCAGACUAGUGGAUUGCUGGUGGUGCUGGUGCUGGAGAGCAGGGUGUGGAUGUUGGCAGUGUAUUGACCUCUGUGUGUAAUGUGUAGGUGAACCCACCUAGUGUUCCUUCCAGCUUGAUGAGGUCCUCUACGGCUGGGGGGGAGCCUCGACCUCAACAUCUCUUACCAUGUUCUCGUGCAAUCAUGCCCAACAAUCAGUCUUGUGUACCAAGUGUGACAUUUGAGACACUAUUGAACUCCAUGCGUGGGGAACCUGGAUCUGUUUGUUGGUCGUAUAGGCUAUUAUUAGGGUGACGAGCCCCCUCAUCAUGUUUGUUAGCCAGUGAUGGGGAGGACUCCCAAUGUACCAGGAGUCAGAAGAUAUGCCACACAAAUAAGCAACCUAGAGCCCUCUUCCCAUUCCCGACUGCAAGCACAAGGGUUAGGGUGAUUUUGAUGGCUAACGUCCCCCACCAGAACACGAGUUCAAGUUAAGUUGCACGUGGAACUCCUCAGGCUUCUACCGUGUGUAGACUGACCAGCUUCCAGGGGUGGCCAGAGCAGGGCUUAGAACUCUCUGGCCAUGGCGAAGGGAGUCUCUGGAACUUGACCCUGAGGGGAUUCUUGAGGUGCUGUGCAGCCUCCCAGGUGUCUAUGUCAGCAGCGCAUGCAGCCUUCUUGGCUCUUGUGUGAUGGAUCCACGGGGUAAUACCUGCAAUCUUUAUAGCAGUUGGUGUUGCUAUGCAACCCUUAAUUUACAAAUGUUAAUCAAGAGCCACAUCAAAGAAUGUAUCGAAUCCAUGUUCUUACACUGACUACCUGAGUUAAUAUUCUGCCUCAAUUCCCCCGCAAGUUGGAGACUCCAACUGCAGGGAAAAGGGGCGAUGACUGCUCUGGCUUCUUCCUGCUGAAAAGGGGCAUCAUUAGGGAAAGCAGUUAGGUCUCCACUCAUGGGACAGUCAAGUGGGCUUUGAUACACUGCUUUGGGUACCCCUUCUAUCAACAUUUGAAGGUUGAUAGCUUUUAAUCAGGAUGUAACGAAGCAAGAAAUACAAUUAAUUAUACAGUGUCUGGGAGUUCCCGUUGUGGCGCAGUGGUUAACGAAUCCGACUAGGAACCAUGAGGUUGCGGGUUCGAUCCCUGCCCUUGCUCAGUGGGUUAACGAUCCGGCAUUGCCGUGAGCUGUGGUGUAGGUUGCAGAUGCGGCUCGGAUCCCGCGUUGCUGUGGCUCUGGCGUAGGCCGGUGGCUACAGCUCCGA